rnacentral:tRNA from 1 species
GAAAACUUAGUUAAAUCCAUAACAUUAGACUGUCAAACUAAAAUUAUUAAAUAAUAGUUUUCU